rnacentral:rRNA from 1 species
AGAUUGAACGCUGGCGGCAUGCCUUACACAUGCAAGUCGAACGGCAGCACGGGAGCAAUCCUGGUGGCGAGUGGCGAACGGGUGAGUAAUACAUCGGAACGUGCCCAAUCGUGGGGGAUAACGCAGCGAAAGCUGUGCUAAUACCGCAUAAGAUCUACGGAUGAAAGCAGGGGAUCGCAAGACCUUGCGCGAAUGGAGCGGCCGAUGGCAGAUUAGGUAGUUGGUGAGGUAAAGGCUCACCAAGCCUUCGAUCUGUAGCUGGUCUGAGAGGACGACCAGCCACACUGGGACUGAGACCACGGCCCAGACUCCUACGGGAGGCAGCAGUGGGGUAAUUU